AUAAUUGAUAGGAGCCUGCUUAGCGCCCGUCGCUCUGCCACAGAUGUCAAACUCCCAGGGUGAGGCUCAUCCAUUGCACUCCGGGUGUGCUGACCCCUGCGAUUUCCCCAAAUGCGGGAAACUCAAUUUGUAAUUUAUGUUACUUACUUAC
rnacentral:snRNA from 1 species